UUGAGUGCUUGAAGGAGUUUGUCACUCCAGACACAGACAUCAAGGUGACCUUGAGUAUCUUUGAGCUGGCAUCUGCUGCAGGUGUGGGCUGUGACAUUGACCCAGCCUUGGUGGCUGCCAUUGCUAAUCUGAAAGCUGAUACUUCAUCUCCUGAGGAGGAAUAUAAGGUGGCCUGCCUGCUCUUGAUCUUUCUGGCAGUUUCCCUCCCACUCCUUGCCACUGACCCUUCUUCCUUUUAUAGCAUUGAGAAGGAUGGUAAGUAAGGGGUAGGUUUGAGACACCAGUGCUAUUCAAGUUAGUGUCCUGGGGUAGAGAGAGGAGACAGAGAUACUGGAAAAUAUAGACUUCUGACUUGGGUGUAAAGUUCUGUUUCAAAAAGCACUUGAAGGCUGGACACCGUGGCUCAUGCCUGUAAUCCUAGCACUUUGGGAGGCCAAGGUGAGGUGGGUAGAUCACUUGAGCCCAUGAGUUCCAGACCAGCCUAGGCAACGUGGUGAAACCCUGUUUCUACAAAAAUAAAUAAACUAGCUGGGCAGGGUGGCCUGUAGUCCCAGCUACCUGG
rnacentral:lncRNA from 10 species